rnacentral:rRNA from 1 species
UACGUAGGGUGCAAGCGUUUGUCCGGAAUUUAUUGGGGCGUAAAGAGCUUGUAGGCGGUUUGUCGCGUCUGCUGUGAAAUUUCGGGGCUCAACCCCGAACUUGCAGUGGGUACGGGGCAGACUAGAGUGUGGUAGGGGGAGACUGGAAUUCCUGGUGUAGCGGUGAAAUGCGCAGAUAUCAGGAGGAACACCGAUGGCGAAGGCAGGUCUCUGGGCCACUACUGACGCUGGAGAAGCGAAAGCAUGGGGAGCGAACAGG